CCUUGUCUAGCCUGGUGAGUGAGCAGGCGCGAGAGAGAGAGAACAAACACUCCCAUUCCUCUCAUUUCCAGUCCAACUUUUCACAAGAGCACAUUUAAUGGAAAUAAUCCUCUGCUCAAUGUUGCUCGCUGCGCCGUCUUUUUUUGUUCCAUUUUCCCCCUUUUUGUGUAUUUCCUCCCCCGUUUAUUUGAUUUCUGGACAGAUUACCCUCCUUUCUCAAGCAUGCCCCCCCAAUUGUGACGCGGGGAGAAGCUCACAGGACAUACUUCUCUCUUUGUUUAGAUGGUAUCUCUUGGUUGUGUUUGUUGGCAUGAGGGAACGUUUACAAUGCAGCACGUGCCAAUGGGUCGGCCAUGACACCUUGAGAGAGAUCCCUGAAGGAGGACCAUUCUAAUUCAUAGUUCUGUCUUGAACACACACACACGUACACACUUACAUACUUGCAUAGACACAAACACCUGGUGACUGUUGUCAGAGAGCCUGAUGUUAUAAUGGAAAGGAAGCCUGUACAGGACAGUAAACCGUAGUAAGAGAGGCUAUAGACCCAACAACAGGUUUAUGAGCAGCCUUAGCAUAGUGAAAUAAAGUAAAACAGAGGUCCUAGAGACCCAACAACAACCUAUUCUUAGGUUUGGCACUGUACACCAUGACACUGAGAGUGAUCAAUGUCACAGACAACAGAUCGAAGAACGGCCCUAGCAAAGUGAAAUACAGUAAAACAGGCCAUAUGGACCGAACAACAGAUCCAGGAUCAGCCCUCAGCACAGUGAGUAAACCGAAUACACAGCUGAUCAGGCUAAGGCCCAAAUGCAGACACAGGAGGUGGAUAGUACGAUUCUCAGAGUUUAUUAUAGUACAAGGGGCAGGCAAAAGGGUAGUCAAGGCAGGCAAAGAGUUGUAAUCCAAAUCAGAGUCAGGCAGAUAUAGGACAGCAGGCAGGAUCAGGGACAGGCAGAAAGGUAAAAAACUACAGCACAGGAAACACGGGAACACGCUGGUAGGACUUGAUGGGAAACAGACAAACAGAAAAACUAGAUAUAAAUACACGAGGUAAUGGGGGUUGAAGACAAUCACAAGACAGGUGAAACAGAUCAGGGUGUGACACAGAAUAGCUUCUGAUUCCGUGUGCAGAGAGCUAGCUAUAACUCCGGUGCUUUCGGGGAACAUUCAACGCUGUCGGUGAGUUUGAGCCUCUGACAGAAACCAUCGACGGUUGGCUGUACUCUGAGGGCCACUGUUCCCGUCCAGGUGGAUGAACACACACACUCAUACAUGGAAGCCACUGAGAAUCCUAAACACACAAACGUGAAGUUGAAUCCCAAAGGCACACACACAAAUUCGAAAGAUUCACACAUGCACACGCACACAAAUACACACACAUGCACAUACGUGCACAUACACAUGCACGCACGCACGCACCCACACACACACAAACACAUCGUAAAGGCACACACCAACAGAUACACACAAAUGUGACCGGAUUCAGGAAGGUGGGCGUUUGCCGCUAGUUCCUACAUUACAGUAGGGACAAUUGAGAAAAAAAGCUGUUGUUUAGCACACUGUAUUACUUAUACAACUAAUAUAAGGACAGGACAUGAGACAGUAGAAAUUAACGUGAGCAUUGUUUAAUGCAUUUCACAGGAAGAACCUUCCAAGCAUUUCAACAUAGGUAAGCAAGGGGGGGUUACAGGUGCCCUAAAGGGACAAAACUAGAAUACACAACAAAAGCCUUCUUGAAUAUUUUAACUUUCAUGUGCAUUAAUAACAAACUGAAAUGUGAUCUGUAAAUAUGAAUAAAAACAUUUAAUUACAAGCCUAGUUUAGCCAAGGAGAAAGAACUGAGUUACAGUGCAUUCGGGAAGUAUUCAGACCAUUUGACUUUAUCCACAUUUUGUUACGUUACUGCCUUAUUCUAAAAUGGAUUAAAAAUAUAUAUAAUUGUCCUCAAUCUACACACAAUACCCCAU
ensembl:lncRNA